rnacentral:lncRNA from 1 species
CCUGUCCUGUCUCACAGACAGACCUGCUGCUUCUGACCCUUAAAUUCCCUCAUCUUGGUCUCCAACUCUACAGUUUACACAUGAAGACCACUCAUCAAUACAUCAGCUGGGAGGGAGUGAUUUCCAAUAGUGAAAGAGCACGGUGCUUCUGGCUUUGAAGGCGAUGGCAAGCACAGGUAUUUUUUUCAAAAAAAGAGAUACAUGUAAAGAUGUUAAAAGCUAGAAAAAAAUACCGCAAGAAUCUUCUCAACCCAUGCACCUUUCUUUCUUCUGCUAGAGGACCAGAAGAUAACACUGGAAGUUGUUCCUCAGUUAACAUUCAAUAGCUUCUUUGCUAUGCUCCAUGGUUUUAUCGCCUGCAAAAUGGAGGUCCGCAGGGAUCACAGAGAAGCAAAGAUAUCUGAGAAAAGCCUAAAGGUACAGAAGUAGGACCCAGAAUAUCCCUGCAAGAGCUGUGGCCUUUGCUCCAUUCCCCUCCGCUCCCAACCCUAGGGCAUAUUUUAAGGACUUAUAUACAACUCAGAUGUGGUCCAUGUGAAUGCAGAGGGCAUGGGCUUGCCUCUGGUGGUGACAUUCAAUUUC